rnacentral:rRNA from 1 species
AGCGAACGCUGGCGGCAGGCUUAACACAUGCAAGUCGAGCGGGCAUCCUUGUGGUGUCAGCGGCAGACGGGUGAGUAACGCGUGGGAACGUGCCCUUCGGUUCGGAAUAACUCAGGGAAACUUGAGCUAAUACCGGAUACGUGCGAGAGCAGAAAGGUUUAUCUGCCGAAGGAUCGGCCCGCGUCUGAUCAGCUAGUUGGUGAGGUUACGGCUCACCAAGGCGACGAUCAGUAGCUGGUCUGAGAGGAUGAUCAGCCACACUGGGACUGAGACACGGCCCAGACUCCUACGGGAGGCAGCAGUGGGGAAUAUUGGACAAUGGGGGCAACCCUGAUCCAGCCAUGCCGCGUGAGUGAUGACGGCCUUAGGGUUGUAAAGCUCUUUUCUCCGGGACGAUAAUGACGGUACCGGAGGAAUAAGCCCCGGCUAACUUCGUG